UAAUACGUAGGGGGCAAGCGUUGUCCGGAAUUAUUGGGCGUAAAGCGCGUGUAGGCGGCCAGGUAGGUCUGCCGUGAAAACUCGAGGCUCAACUUCGAGCGGUCGGCGGAAACCAUCUGGCUAGAGUCCGGAAGAGGAGAGUGGAAUUCCUGGUGUAGCGGUGAAAUGCGCAGAUAUCAGGAAGAACACCCGUGGCGAAGGCGGCUCUCUGGGACGGUACUGACGCUGAGACGCGAAAGCGUGGGGAGCGAACAGGAUUAGAUACCCUGGUAGUCCACGCCGUAAACGAUGGGUGCUAGGUGUGGGCGGUGUCGACUCCGUCCGUGCCGAAGCUAACGCAUUAAGCACCCCGCCUGGGGAGUACGGCCGCAAGGCUAAAACUCAAAGGAAUUGACGA
rnacentral:rRNA from 1 species